rnacentral:rRNA from 1 species
UACGGAGGAUUCGAGCGUUAUCCGGAUUUAUUGGGUUUAAAGGGUGCGUAGGCGGACUAAUAAGUCAGCUGUGAAAGCUUGCAGCUUAACUGUGAAACUGCCGUUGAUACUGUUAGUCUUGAGUUUGGUUAAGGUGGGCGGAAUUUGUAAUGUAGCGGUGAAAUGCUUAGAUAUCACAAAGAACUCCAAUUGCGAAGGCAGCUCACUGG